rnacentral:rRNA from 1 species
CCUACGGGGUGCUGCAGUGGGGAAUAUUGGGCAAUGGGCGCAAGCCUGACCCAGCAACGCAGCGUGAAGGAAGAAGGCCCUCGGGUUGUAAACUUCUUUUGUCAGGGACGAAACAAAUGACGGUACCUGACGAAUAAGCCACGGCUAACUACGUGCCAGCAGCAGCGGUAAUACGUAGGUGGCAAGCGUUAUCCGGAUUUACUGGGUGUAAAGGGCGUGUAGGCGGGAGAGCAAGUCAGAUGUGAAAUUCCAGGGCUCAACCCUGGAACUGCAUUUGAAACUGUUUGUCUUGAGUGAUGGAGAGGCAGGCGGAAUUCGGGGUGUAGCGGUGAAAUGCGUAGAUAUACGGAGGAACACCAGUGGCGAAGGCGGCCUGCUGGACAGUAACUGACGCUGAGGCGCGAAAGCGUGGGUAGCAAACAGGAUUAGAUACCCGGGUAGUC